UACAGAGGGUGCAAGCGUUAAUCGGAAUUACUGGGCGUAAAGCGUGCGUAGACGGUUAUGUAAGUCAGGUGUGAAAGCCCCGGGCUCAACCUGGGAAUGGCAUUUGAGACUGCAUAGCUAGGGUGCGGAAGAGGGAAGCGGAAUUUCCGGUGUAGCGGUGAAAUGCGUAGAUAUCGGAAGGAACAUCAGUGGCGAAGGCGGCUCGCUGGACCGGUUCUGACGCUGAGGCGCGAAAGCGUGGGGAGCAAACGGG
rnacentral:rRNA from 1 species